rnacentral:rRNA from 1 species
UGCCAGCAGCCGCGGUAACACGGGGGGCGCAAGCGUUAUUCGGAAUUAUUGGGCGUAAAGGGCGCGCAGGCGGUCGCGCAAGUCGGUUGUGAAAUCCCCUGGCUUACCCAGGGAACUGCAGCCGGUACUGCGUGACUUGAGUCCGGGAGAGGAGAGUGGAAUUCCCAGUGUAGCGGUGGAAUGCGUAGAUAUUGGGAGGAACACCAGUGGCGAAGGCGGCUCUCUGGCCAAAGACUGACGCUCAUGUGCGAAAGUGUGGGUAGCGAACAGGAUUAGAUA